AUUUAUAUUUAUUUAUAGAUAUGAUACUAUGAAAUAGCUUUAUUAUCCCUUGCUAAAAAUGCUUCCUUUUUUGCUUUCUUAGCAGUCAGUGCAAAAAUUCAAGUUAAUAUCAUAAUAUCAUGGUAAAAGCUGCAAGCUCUGAAGUGGUACAGGCUGGCAGGAAGCUCCCAGUGUAUGGUUUGGUGUGAGCAGCACCGAUGUAUUAGGUUUGGCAUAGUAGUACAUGGGUUUUUUUUCUUGUUUUUAGUGGCCAUCUAUGCCAUCUAUGCAUCUAUGCUUAACUUGUUAACAAUUUAUGUUCAUAUGUACGAGGAGGAGGAACAUAAAGAUGAUGUAAGGAUAGACAGGUUUGUAAAACCAGCCAUUUCUUCAAGGGACGGCUGCUGCAGCAAUACCCUGCUUGCACGAUGCCCUAUAUGAGUGUCUGUUUUGAGCGAGUUUUACACGUGACCUGCACCCUGAUCAUGCGUUCUUUUUAGGCUGCACACCCGCCUAUCAGCCUCAUCAGCGUUGAUGCUGUGGACCCACAUCAGUGGUUUCUUGAGCUUUGAGAAAAACCCAGUUCUUGUUCUUAGAUAAAUACAAGAACCCUUCUGUUUCAGAGCAGCGUGCAGCCAUGUGCACACUGUGUGUGCCAGAACAGACCCUUUCAAGAGCUCCAGAAGACUUUUUUAGCCUCUUUCUUUCAUCUGCAAGACCAAAAAGGAAAGAGAGGUUUCUGCAACUGGGAAGCAGGAGAAGAGAGCGGAGUGACAAGACUUCACCUGUAACGUAGCUGAUGGUGGGCUCACAGACCAGAACACACACAGCCUAUUGCACAGAUCGGCUUUCCUGGCAGCCCCGGGCAGCACUUGCAGGGACAGAGGUAUGGGACGCCUAAAAAUAGUUACUGAAAGAGACUAAAAGACAAGGACAGCUGGAAAAAACAU